UACGUAGGGGGCAAGCGUUGUCCGGAUUUAUUGGGCGUAAAGAGCGUGUAGGCGGCCAGACAGGUCCGCUGUGAAAACUCGAGGCUCAACCUCGAGAUGUCGGUGGAAACCGUCUGGCUAGAGUCCGGAAGAGGAGAGUGGAAUUCCCGGUGUAGCGGUGAAAUGCGCAGAUAUCGGGAAGAACACCCGUGGCGAAGGCGGCUCUCUGGGACGGUACUGGACGCUGAGACGCGGAAAGCGUGGGGAGCGAACAGG
rnacentral:rRNA from 1 species